rnacentral:rRNA from 1 species
UUCCAGACUCCUACGGGAGGCAGCAGUGAGGAAUAUUGGUCAAUGGGCGCGAGCCUGAACCAGCCAAGUCGCGUGAGGGAUGACGGUCCUACGGAUUGUAAACCUCUUUUGCCGGGGAGCAAGCGUGCGUUCGUGAACGCGCGUCGAGAGUACCCGGAGAAAAAGCAUCGGCUAACUCCGUGCCAGCAGCCGCGGUAAUACGGAGGAUGCGAGCGUUAUCCGGAUUUAUUGGGUUUAAAGGGUGCGUAGGCGGGCUGUUAAGUCAGCGGUAAAAUGUCGGGGCUCAACCCCGGCCUGCCGUUGAAACUGGCGGCCUCGAGUGGGCGAGAAGUAUGCGGAAUGCGUGGUGUAGCGGUGAAAUGCAUAGAUAUCACGCAGAACUCCGAUUGCGAAGGCAGCAUACCGGCGCCCUACUGACGCUGAGGCACGAAAGCGUGGGUAUCGAACAGGAUUAGAUACCCUAGUA